AACGAACGCUGGCGGCAGGCCUAACACAUGCAAGUCGAACGAGUAAGAGCCGUAGCAAUACGGAGUUCUGCUAGUGGCGCACGGGUGAAUAACGCGUGGGAACGUGCCUUGGAGUUCGGGAUAACAGUUGGAAACGACUGCUAAUACCGAAUAUUCCCUCAGGGGGAAAGAUUUAUCGCUCCAAGGUCGGCCCGCGUAAGAUUAGGUAGUUGGUGGGGUAAUGGCCUACCAAGCCUACGAUCUUUAGCUGGUCUGAGAGGACGACCAGCCACACUGGAACUGAGACACGGUCCAGACUCCUACGGGAGGCAGCAGUGGGGAAUAUUGGACAAUGGGCGAAAGCCUGAUCCAGCCAUGCCGCGUGAAUGAUGAAGGCCUUAGGGUUGUAAAAUUCUUUUGCAGGGGAGGUAAUGACGGUACCUGCGAAUAAGCUCCGGCUAACUUCGUGCCUAGCAGCCGCGGUAAU
rnacentral:rRNA from 1 species